rnacentral:rRNA from 1 species
UACGUAGGGGCCGAGCGUUGUCCGGAGUUAUUGGGCGUAAAGCGCGCGCAGGCGGCCUCGCGCGCCCGACGUGAAAGCCCCCGGCUUAACCGGGGAGGGUCGUUGGGGACGGCGGGGCUUGAGGGCGGGAGAGGGUGGUGGAGUUCCCGGUGUAGUGGUGAAAUGCGUAGAGAUCGGGAGGAACACCCGUGGCGAAGGCGGCCACCUGGGCCGACCCUGACGCUGAGGCGCGAAGGCGUGGAGAGCGAACGGG